AGCCGCCGCGGGAAUACGGAGGGGGCUAGCGUUGUUCGGAAUUACUGGGCGUAAAGCGCACGUAGGCGGCUGUGUAAGUCAGAGGUGAAAGCCCGGGGCUCAACCCCGGAAUAGCCUCUGAGACUGCAUAGCUUGAACACGGGAGAGGUGAGUGGAAUUCCGAGUGUAGAGGUGAAAUUCGUAGAUAUUCGGAAGAACACCAGUGGCGAAGGCGGCUCACUGGACCGUUGUUGACGCUGAGGUGCGAAAGCGUGGGGAGCAAACAGGAUUAGAUACCCCGGUAGUCCCUGUCUCUUAUACA
rnacentral:rRNA from 1 species